rnacentral:tRNA from 1 species
CGGGAUGUAAUUCAGUGGCGAGAAGCCAUGCUUUGGGAGCAUGGAGUCGCAGGUUCGAGUCCUGCCAUCCCGA